rnacentral:rRNA from 1 species
AUUGAACGCUGGCGGCAGGCCUAACACAUGCAAGUCGAACGAUUGGCGGCCGGGUGAGUAGUGUCUGGGAAACUGCCUGAUGGAGGGGGAUAACUACUGGAAACGGUAGCUAAUACCGCAUACCAUCAGAUGUGCCCAGAUGGGAUUAGCUAGUUGGUGGGGUAACGGCUCACCAAGGCGACGAUGCCUAGCUGGUCUGAGAGGAUGACCAGCCAAACGGGAACUGGGACACGGUCCAGAGGCCUAGGGGAGGCAGAAGUGGGGAAUAUUGCGCAAUGGGCGCAAGCCUGAUGCAGCCAUGCCGCGUGUAUGAAGAAGGCCUGCGGGUUGUAAAGUACUUUCAGCGGGGAGGCGUUAGCCGCAGAAGAAGCACCGGCUAACUCCGUGCCAGCAGCCGCGGUAAUAC